GCGCGCCUGCGGGUCUCCAUUUCCGAGUUCACCUCCAUUCCAGAGCCAAAUGGAAAGUCACGCUUUUCUGACUUGAGACUUAAGGUUGUAAGAAAGCCAGUUGACCAUCUUCGCCUCCCUCGCGGCUUUCUAAAUGUCGAGAGCCCAGGUUUGGAAAAAUGUGACUGCGCCGCCUUCCUGGGAGACCCACACUGCAAGUCGCAGUCGGGGCACGUCUCACGGACCGCAAAACGCGGCUGAGUUACUGCGGUUUUCACCUUAGCAGCUUGCACAUUUACAAAUUAAGACAGUCUGGGAGGAAGAAGCAGAGCCACUUGGGUAUAGAAUUGAGAGAAUGGAACGAUUUCCAACGUUUCCAAAAGGCUUCUGGCCAUAUAGGCCCUCUACCUGUUGGCUAGAGAUUUGUUUCUUAUUUAAAGUGGUCAUCAGUUUCGAGUUUUAGUGUGCAGUAUAUGAACGAAAUAAGUCGAAUCGUUUAUUUGCUUAGCAAAGGGAUUUGGAACGAUUUGGGUUUUUAAUCAAAUAAAAGCAAACAUAGGAUUAGGUAGUCUCGAAACACCCACUGUAACGAAGAAUGAUACCCCGGAUUCUAAUAGUAUGUAAACGCAAACACUGUUUUUAUUCUGUAGAAGUCCAGCAUGCUGGGGUCUCCCGUUACCAAGAUAGAGCCUGAAGUGAGCCCGCAGGACCAAUUUAAAGCACCUUAGUGGAAUCCUGGGGUGUUUGCCCACAUUGCAUGUGCCAUGUCCAUGCCUGGUGCCUACAGAAGCCAGAAGGGGGCAUUGGAUCUCCUGGAACUGGAGUUACAGUUGUGAGCCACCAUGUGUGUGCUGGGAAUCAAACCUGGGUUCCCUGGAAGAGCAGCCAGUACUCUUAGAUGUUGAACCAUCUCUCCAAGCCCUUUUUAUCUUUUUAAGCUAUAGCGUGUGUGUGUGUGUGUGUGUGUGUGUAAUGUGCAUAUAGGAGUGCCUGAAUACAUACCACAGUGGGGGUGGGGGGUGAGAGGACAGCUUGGUAGAGUCAGUUCUCUCCUUUUAGUUUUAUUCCUGGAUUCCAGGAAUAGAACUCAGGCCCUUAUGCUUACAUAGCAAGCUCUUUUAUCUCAUCUAUCUUGCUGGCCCUGGAUUACUACUUCUUUAUUUUUUAAAUUUAUUUAUUUUAUUUGUAUGACUAGCUAUCUUCAGACACACCAUAGAAGAGGGCAUCAGGUCUCAUUACAGAUGCUUGUGAGCCACCAUGUGGUUGCUGGGAAUUGAACUCAGGACCUCUGAAAGAGCAGUCGGUGCUCUUAACCUCUGAGCCAUCUCUCCAGUCUGGAUUACUUCUCUUACUAGCAGUUUGGCAGGAGAGUUUUCAGUGUGCAGUUGCUAUAGUUUAACAGGCACAACAAUGCUGCCACUUCCCCAUCUGGAGGCCUCAAGUACUGGUGUUCUUAAGCCUUUCCCUCUGGUCUUCCUGUUUAUAGGUUGUAGUGACAAUUUUGGGAUUUUGUUUUCUUUAAAAAAAAAUCACAUAAAUAUUAUACUAAUAUGUUUUCAUUCUUAAUCCCAGGUAUGGGAUGUAGGCCUGCUUCAGGUAUUCACAGCGCCUGACUAUGUUUGCUUCCUGCUCCAGCAGGCGCAUGCAUGAUUUUACCAGCUAUAGAUACUUUCUGAAAUUGGAAUUCUGGGGAGUUUUCAGAGGGUAUAUAAAUGUUAAUGCCCUGAGAAGCAUGGUUGGUGGUUGGUUGGUGUGGGUUGCUGUUGGUUACAGUUUGUUAAGUAGUCAUGUGCGAAGAAGAAACAAGGAGAUGAAGAAAUUAGCUAUCCUGACAUUGAAGAUCAAACUUUCCCUAAGGAGCUUGUCCCCAAUCAGCAGGAACUAGUCUAACAAUAAUGUCACCCCUUUUCCACCUCAUACUUUAUUCAGGGAUCUCUUUCCUUUCCUCUCUAUCGUUUUUUUUUCUUUCUUAUCUAGAGUUAGGAGGCUGAAAAGGUGGAAGAAAAGGGGUGAAAAAGGGCGGAAGAACAAAGAACCUACAAUGUAGCAUAAAAGAGCUACAAGUGCUGCCCAGACAUGGGGCUAGGCAGAGUGGGAAAUUUGAUUUCAAGUGCGGUAGAGAAAAAGGUAGGAGAAGAUGCCAGCAAAAAAUGUACUGAGGCUUCUACUAUUGGGAUAUUUUCUGCUUUGCACCCACAAGGGAUUUUCUGUAUUUGUUGUUUGUUUGUUUCAAAAAAGUUUGAAAGACUGGCUGAGUUGUGAACAAAGCUAUAUCAGACCUGAUGCAAGGCAGAUGUUGAUAGAGAUCUUGGCAUAUAAAAAUUUGUAUAUCAGUGUAAAAACCAUCAAAGUCAAGAGCAGUACCUAUGGACACGUAUAUAAGGGAUAUGGCCGAUACUGGUUCUAACAUGAACCAUACUAAUAUCAUAGGUCCAGCUAUAGCUAGAGGUCUGAUAUCAAAAUAUCCAGUGCUUCAAUUGUAGGAAAUACGGUCUUUGCAAAGAGACUAUGACCAAGCUGCUAAGAUCUCAGACCUCAAAAUGCUUGGUGCUUUAAUUGUGGAAAAUUUGGUCAUUUGCAACAAAAUUGUGAACAAGGCAUCUCUAAGGCCAAUGGGUUUUCUAAAUAUAAAACAGAAAGAAGGCUUAGGCUUCCAGGGGUGUGCAGGUGAUGUGGCAGGGUUGCCAUUAGACCAAUAAGGAUAGGUCUGAGAGAGAUAUCUAAGGCAAUUUCUUACCAUCAGGAAACAGCAUUGGGGGCCUAACUAGAGACCCCCACAGCAAAAAGUACAAGUUUUUGCCUCUUGUCAGCCAAGAAAUAACAAGCAGAAAAUCCUCAACUAAGUAUCACAAGUCUAAUGCAUGCUACUGCAGACAGUGCUGCUCUAGACUUGGCUAUAGAUAAACAUCUUACACUGUCCCCAAAAGUUCAUUGUUAUAAAAUUACUACUGGGGUUUAUGGUCCUUCACCCUCAGGGACAACAGGGAUGAUCCUGGGAAGGAGUGGGUUGACUUCCUAAGGAUUCAUUGUGUAUUCAGGAAUUACAGAUGAAGAUUUCAAAGGAGAAGUUAAAUUCUGGCCUAUGUACAAAGAGAGAUGUGACUGAACCCAGGUGAGAGGGUUGCUCAGCUGCUAUUGUUUCCCUACAUCAAAGGCAAACCUUCUCCAUGAGAAAGAACAGGAGUGUUUGCAAGUACUGGAAAAUGUGUGUUUUGACAAACGGUAGUUAAUCAUCAGAGGCCAAAAUUAAAAUUGCAAGUAAAUGGUGUAGAAAUAGAAGGUUUGGUGGGUACAGGAACUGACAUAACACAUUUCACAAAAAUCCUGGGAUUCAAAAUGGCCACUUCAAAAGUAAAUGCACAGUUUCUAGAUAUUAGAAAUUUAUCUCAGAUAAAACAAAAUGUACAAUGGCUUAAAUGUGAGACUGAAAGGCCAAACAUAUUUGUUAAAGCCUACAUGGCCAUCAAACCCAUAAAUUUAGGGGAAAGGGAUCUUUCUGAGUGGGUGCUCAGAUUACCAUCCCUGUAAUCCCAGACACAGCCCAUGGUGAAAUAAGGGGUGAAAUGGUAGAUGUUCCUGGAAAAGGUAUUGCUGUAUGUCAUGAAAACCAACCCUAGCCUGUGCCAAUUGUCCCAACACAGGAAAGAACAGGGAUUGAGUUUCCAAAUUUAUAAGGGGGGUCUAUUGACAAAGUAUCAACAGCCCUACCCUUAAAAUGGUUGACUGAUAACCCUGUGCAGGUACAUCAGUGGCCUUUGACUAAGAAGAAAAUUACAGGCACUUGAGUAACUUCAACAUAUAAAUGAGUCUACCAGCCCAUGGAAUUUCCCUGUAUUUUUUAUUAAAAAAAAUGUGGGCUGGUGAGAUGGCUCAGUGGGUAAGAGUACCCGACUGCUCUUCCGAAGGUCAGGAGUUCAAAUCCCAGCAACCACAUGGUGGCUCACAACCAUCCGUAACGAGAUCUGACUCCCUCUUCUGGAGUGUCUGAGGACAGCUACAGUGUACUUACAUAUAAUAAAUAAAUAAAUAAAUAAAUAUGAAUUGGGAAAA